UACGGGGGGGCAAGCGUUGUUCGGAAUUACUGGGCGUAAAGGGCUCGUAGGUGGCCAACUAAGUCGGACGUGAAAUCCCUCAGCUUAACUGGGGAACUGCGUCCGAUACUGGAUGGCUUGAGUUUGGGAGAGGGAUGCGGAAUUCCAGGUGUAGCGGUGAAGUGCGUAGAUAUCUGGAGGAACACCGGUGGCGAAGGCGGCAUCCUGGACCAACACUGACACUGAGGGCGAAAGCCAGGGGAGCAACGGG
rnacentral:rRNA from 1 species